rnacentral:rRNA from 1 species
AGUGAACGCUGGCGGUAGGCCUAACACAUGCAAGUCGAACGGCAGCACAGUAAGAGCUUGCUCUUACGGGUGGCGAGUGGCGGACGGGUGAGGAAUACAUCGGAAUCUACUUUUUCGUGGGGGAUAACGUAGGGAAACUUACGCUAAUACCGCAUACGACCUACGGGUGAAAGCAGGGGAUCUUCGGACCUUGCGCGAUUGAAUGAGCCGAUGUCGGAUUAGCUAGUUGGCGGGGUAAAGGCCCACCCAGGCGACGAUCCGUAGCUGGUCUGAGAGGAUGAUCAGCCCCACUGGACCUGAGCCACGGUCCAGACUCCUACGGGAGGCAGCAGUGUGGAAUAUUGGAAAAUGGGCGCAAGCCUGAUCCAGCCAUACCGCGUGGGUGAAGAAGGCCUUCGGGUUGUAAAGCCCUUUUGUUGGGAAAGAAAAGCAGCAGGUUAAUACCCCGCUGUUCUGACGGUACCCAAAGAAUAAGCACCGGCUAACUUCGUG